UACACUCCGCGGGAGGCAGCAGUGAGGAAUAUUGGACAAUGGGUGGAAGCCUGAUCCAGCCAUCCCGCGUGCAGGAAGACGGCCCUAUGGGUUGUAAACUGCUUUUAUCUGGGGAUAAACCUACUUACGUGUAAGUAGCUGAAGGUACCAGAAGAAUAAGCACCGGCUAACUCCGUGCCAGCAGCCGCGGUAAUACGGAGGGUGCAAGCGUUAUCCGGAUUUAUUGGGUUUAAAGGGUCCGUAGGCGGACUGAUAAGUCAGUGGUGAAAUCCGACAGCUUAACUGUCGAACUGCCAUUGAUACUGUUAGUCUUGAGUAAGGUUGAAGUGGCUGGAAUAAGUAGUGUAGCGGUGAAAUGCAUAGAUAUUACUUAGAACACCAAUUGCGAAGGCAGGUCACUAAGUCUUAACUGACGCUGAUGGACGAAAGCGUGGGGAGCGAACAGGAUUAGAAACCCCGGUAGUCCCA
rnacentral:rRNA from 1 species